CGUGUAGGCGGUGCGGUAAGUUGGGCGUGAAAUCCCCGAGCUUAACUCGGGUGGGCCGUUCAAGACUGCCGUGCUAGGGUGCGGGAGAGGGAAGUGGAAUUUCCCGUGUAGCGGUGAAAUGCGUAGAUAUCGGGAGGAACACCUGCGGCGAAGGCGGCUUCCUGGACCGUAACCGACGCUGAGGCGCGAAAGCUAGGGGAGCAAACAGGAUUAGAUACCCUGGUAGUCCUAGCCCUAAACGAUGAGCACUGGGUGUGGCCCCUCACGGGGCCGUGCCGAAGCUAACGCAUUAAGUGCUCCGCCUGGGGAGUACGGUCGCAAGGCUGAA
rnacentral:rRNA from 1 species